rnacentral:misc_RNA from 1 species
AACCUUAUGGACCUGCGGGCGUAUACCUGCGGAGGGAUCAUUACAGAGUUGCAAAACUCCCUAAACCAUUGUGAACGUUACCUAAACCGUUGCUUCGGCGGGCGGCCCGGGUCCUUCCCGGCGCCCCUCGGCCCUCGCGGGCGCCCGCCGGAGGUAAACCAAACUAUUGCAUUGUAUGGCCUCUCUGAGUCUUCUGUACUGAAUAAGUCAAAACUUUCAACAACGGAUCUCAGAUCGGAA